UCAUGGUCUUCUGUAAAUCUGCCACGGAAUGAGAAGCUCUCCUACGCGGAUGCCGCUGCAGCCCCGCUGGCCAAAUCCUUGACUUGGCCGACGCUGUUUGCUUUCUUGGCAGGUGUCUGCAGCUCACGUCUGCUGAUUCCAUCAGAGGGGUUGGCGUUAUUGGGAAGCACUCUCUCCCUGCCUCCAUUUCCUGUCCUGUUUAAUCGCUUCCAGGAGGCAUUUUACGCCGAGGCUGUCUUCGAACGAAACGAAGCCCAUCUAAAAAAGAAAAAACACAUAGCAAAACAAAACAAGGGAUGUUAUUCUUCUUUCAGCACAAACAGGGUUCCCGGUACAUGAGCUCUUGGGGAUUUUGCAGAAGUGAUGGGGCUUUCUCCAGAUCGCCUCUUAACCGCUAAGAUCGAGUUUCCCGCCAAGGGGGGUGUGACUGCGCUUCUCCCCCUGCAGAGCAGACCUACGACCAGAGCUCGCAACCGCAUCCAACGACACUUCGUCUCGCUGACCCGGUCACACUCUCCACACGCCCUUCUCGCUUCAUGGCCACACAAGGCCCGGUUGGCAAAGAAAAGGAUAAUAUUUCUUCAGCUGAUACCGCAAGCGGUUUUGAGAUGGCGCGAUUGUGGUAAGAGAAUGAGGUGUGGUAGGUGGAGGUGAUGAUAGGAAGGAGGGACUAACUAGGAAGAAAAGCUGCUGCGGUCACACACAUUUUCUAAGCCUUAUAAUUAAAGUGAGACUUUCUCCGGCAUGUACAGUGGUACAAACUGAUUUGGUUUAAACAGUCAUUCUGACAGGUGAUUUUUGCCUCCACCUAGGCUGUAAAAGACAUGCAUCUUUAAAGCAGUAUUCAUCGAGAGCCAUCCAGUAACACUUGUCAUAGUCAAUGACAGGUGGAGGAAAAGCAAGUAACAAGUGUUCAGCAUAGCAUGUCUCACUUCAUAACCAAACCUACAUCAAAUGACGUCAAUUCCUCUUACUUUAGAUCACCGUAUGAACCAUCAAUGUCACUGAGAUCUCUCCCAGUCCUGCUCCGUAUGGAAUUCUCUUUGCUAGUACCUCUAACAGACAUUUAAUCGUAUCUCACGAUCAAAACUGAGAUUGGCUUUCACAAGAAUGAUGGAUCACUUCUCAAUAACUCACACCUGCAGAGGCCAUUUUCUUGUGCCAUACUGAAACACAAUCGUCAAAUCCAGGAGGGACCCGCAACGUACAGCGGGAGAUACUCCUAAAUAUAUGCUCCUUCGGUCUGUAGCACAACACGUGGUUUUGAUGGGCCGAUUUGAUAUUUCCAGAGCUCCUUCAGUGAUCGUGGCUUCCCUGGCUGGAGGUGAACUUUUGCACGGGUGAUUUAUGCACCUUCUGAACUGUGCAGAGUUGGUGGAGGUCUCCUAUGUCAUCGUAGCCUGAGGCCUCAGGCACUUCCUGUUUAAGAUGACUUACAGUUCUCUGUCAGUCCUCUGGGCCCAUUUUAUUGCUGCCCAGCCCCUCGCAGGAGCAGCACCGGGUCUGUGCUGUCACUAUGACAUCAUCAGCACACAGGAAGUGUGCUCAUUCCUUACUCAUCAAAUACAAAGAUCGGCCGUACUUGAGGAGUGACAUCAUGGCAUCAAGUUCUCUGACUCUUCACACACAUACAGUAUUUCUUAUAUUAUUUUUAGAUAUUAACAACACAAAGAACUGCCAGAGGAAGCUUUUCCCACUGAAAUGCCAUUUUCUAUGGCUUUUACAUACUGUUUUCUCUGUGGUUGCCAUCCACAUCCAAAAAACAUCAGCGUUCUGUUUGUGGUUCUUGCUAAAUCAACUAAAACACACUCCCUCUCCAUUUAAUCUCACUCCCUUUCCACAAACUCUUUACAUGCAAAUUUCAUUUUCAAAUAAGGCUCCUUUUUUACUUCUGAAAUAUCCAUCAAACAACAGCAUGAAACAUGAAAUAUUGAGUCUUUCUAUAAAUGUGCUGGUGGCUUCACGCUUUGAUGAAGUGACUGUAAUUGAUCGCCCUUUACACGAGACGUCCGUCAUUUGGCUGCACCAGUGGUUGGUUAGUGGAGGUGUUGGGAGCGUGGAUCUGUUAUCGUAGGGCUGAUGUAUGGAUGGCAGUCUAACACAAAGCUCUCCAUGGGAAAUCUCAGACAAUGAUCGCAGCCUUGCAUCUUAGAAGAAAGUCACUCUCCCACUCACACAGACAAGUGGAUACUCAUUGAGCAACAAUCGGAGGGUCAUGGUUCUGCUGAGAAGUGCUCAUUCAGGGCUGUGGAGUCUGGAAGCGGCGUGUGUCUGGUCUCAUGGACUGAGAGAUAGACGGAGCUCUGAUACUCCCACACGUUUUGGAGAUAGCAGGCAGAUUUCCUGUUCAUGAGAAGAAGCUUUGAUACAAGCUCUGCUGCACAAUGGCAUCAAAGGCUCAGUGAAGACCCACAAGAUAAAGAUACAGGACUUCAAAUGACU
ensembl:lncRNA